rnacentral:rRNA from 1 species
UACGUAGGGUGCAAGCGUUAAUCGGAAUUACUGGGCGUAAAGCGUGCGCAGGCGGUUAUGUAAGACAGAUGUGAAAUCCCCGGGCUCAACCUGGGAACUGCAUUUGUGACUGCAUAGCUAGAGUACGGUAGAGGGGGAUGGAAUUCCGCGUGUAGCAGUGAAAUGCGUAGAUAUGCGGAGGAACACCGAUGGCGAAGGCAAUCCUCUGGACCUGUACUGACGCUCAUGCACGAAAGCGUGGGGAGCAAACAGG